CUUGUCAGUUUGCAAUAUCUCUUAAAGACAAAGUACACAGUUUAAGAAAUACAAGAUUUCAUUCUAAAACUUGUAAUAUUUGCAUUUGCCCAUAACAAGGGUGCAUGUGUGUAUAUGUCGGUGUGUAUCUAUGUGUGUGUAUGUGUCCAGGGCCGGCCUUAGGCGCCCUGUGCGAAAAGUCUUCACGGCGCCCCCCACCAAGUUGCCUGAAUACAGUUACACACACAGGCACCAGGGACAUGUGUAUCGCGAGGCAAACAAGGCAUCUGCCUUGGGUGGCACUUUGCAUGGGGCUGCAGAAAAAGCCACCCCCAAACCCCCAGGCAGAUCCCUUGCUUGCCUCGCGUCCUGGGGGCUCAAGAGGUGGCCGGCUGGCCACUUCUGAGCCCCCCGAGGCUGGCAGCGGGCAGUGAAGGAGCAUAUUUACCUGAGCUCUUCCUGCUCAGCUCCCUAUACGCCACUUAAUGAAGCCGGGAGCCGGAAUAUGAUGUCAGUCCGGCUCCCGGCAUCACUAAGCGUCGCCUACUCAGCCUGUGCGACCCCUGCCUGCCCACCCAGCAGCCACACUGGACUGCAGGUAAGAAAUCCACUCCAGCUAUCCCAGGGAGGCUGGGUAGAUUUAAAAUAAAAUUUAAAAAAUAUUAGUUUGUGAGUGUUAAUGAAAAUGUCUGUGUGUGUGUGUCUGUGAGUGUGUAUUUCUAAGUGAAUGUGAAUGUGUGUGUGUGUCUGUAUGUGUCUGUAAGUGUGUAAUUGUGUGUGUCUGUAAGUAAAUGUGUGUGUCUGUAAGUGUUUAUGUGUGUGUGUGUCUGUGAGUGAAUGUGUAUGUGUUGGUCAGUGAGUGUGUAUGUGUCGGUUAGUGGGGGCGUGCAUCUUUCAGUGAGUGUGUCCGUUUGUCAGUGAGAGUGUGCAUCUUUCAGUGUGUGCCCAAGUAAUAGUGUGUGUGUAUGUCAUUGUUUGUCAGUGUGUAUGAGAGUGUGUGUCUGUCAGUGAGUGUGCGUCUGUCAGCCAAAGUGCGGUAUUGACAGGAAUGGGUGGGGGAAAUAUUAACUCUGUUACAGGCAUGUACACACACACACUCAGUUAAAGGCAGUCACACAUACAGGCACAGGCACACACAAUGGCACAGCUACAGUGACACACAAUUAGAGUCACACACAGAGUCACAUACACAGACAGUCACACACACACACACACACACACACACAGGCAGGCAGUCACACACAGACAGACAGUUACAGACAGACACAGGCAGGCAAUCACACACACAGGCAGACAGUCACACAGGCAGUCACACAUGCAGGCAGGCAGUCACACAGACAGGCAGUCACACACACACAGGCAGUCACACACAGACAGUCACACACACACAGGCAGUCACACACACACAAAUGCAGUCACUGUAGCAGAGAGAUAGUUUCAUCCACGGUAUCUCUGCUGGGUAACAGGAACAGCAUAAAAUCAUCCAGACAAAAUAAGUACAGCAUACAAUAAUCCCGGUAGCGUUGUACAAAUCUUUCCUUCCCAAGAACUAAAUGACACAUAGGCUGGGAGUCAACUGAGGUUUUAAUCACAGGUCACAGUAUUUAUGCAGUUCCCCAUGCAAGAGGUUUUCUUACUGACAUUACAGGGGUUGUACAGUAGGGGACUACAUUGGGAACUUAACAACCAAGAUCUUUCUCCCAUCAUGCACUGCUGUACGAGAGGGAUACUCCCACUAGAAUAUCCAGUUAAGUAGAUUAUCCCUCCGUACAGCAGAACUGGCAUUUCACAUAAAAAUAUAUAACUUUAACCUUAUUCCUACUGUAUUACCGAAUGACCGUUCAGUAGAUAGCUGGGGUCUGAGCGCACAUAUCGUGCAAUUACCGCUCCAUACCCAGCACAUCUAGCCGAACGCCGCAUGAAUUACACUUUAAUAUAUACUUUGCCUAAAUUGCACGAAUACACUUGUAGGAAGCAAGUACUGAAAGACCAGUACUCCCGAACGGCCUCGAAGUCCAGCGGUAUUCGUGCCGUCGAGUAGCCGAUUUUAGUUCCAGGCACUCAACGGCAAAAUACCGCUGGGCUAACAAAGGAACCAAGAUGGCCGACCACCGCGGGGCCACCCUGAAUCUUUCAUAACUUCUGAAAUAUACAAUGUUGCAAUGUUUAAUGGGAGCCACACGACCUUCUGUGUGUGGUCUCCCAUUUGGUAGUUGGUUCGUUUUACGAACAGUGUUGAAAUUCACUGUUCGUGAAACUACUGUAUGAAUGCUGGUGGUUUUCAUGCCGCCAGCAUACAAAUGUUCUUGUUAGCCUAACAUAAAAAAUUAAGUAUAUGCUUGGUUCUAACAUCCUUAAAGUUACAGCAACACAUUAAUGUAAAUACAGUCUUAAAGUGGCUAGUUUUGCCACAAUCACACACGCAGGCAGUCACACACACACACAGGCAGUCACACACACACAGGCAGUCACAAACACGCAGACAGUCACACACACAGGCAGGCAGUCACACACACUGUCAAGAUAUUUAUAUUGGCAGACAUUUUGUGCUAAGAUAGAAAUUAAAAGUGUAUAUUUCCUGAGUCACUCAGAACAGAGCGGACUCCAUUUUGGAUCUACAGGCCAACAAAGACACAUCAUUUCUUCUUACUUUCUGUAACUAGCCACUAGCCUGAGCUAAGGAAUGCAUUAUAUAAACAAGCCAAGUGAUAAGCAAUGAAGCAGGUGGAUGGAAUGUUCUGUUUAAAUGUUAAUAGAAUAGAAAUAAUUUUAAACACAGACACUAGUGACAGAGAAGACUAAGUAAUUAAUUUUACUUUCUAAAUUUUACAAGGUCCCAUUUGUAAGUAAGGGGUGAAAUUGAGUUUAGAACUGUCAAUCCUAGAAAUUAUGAUCAUAGUAGUUGCCACAAAGACUGAGACAAACGCUUUGAACUGACAGCAAAUUUAAGUUAUGGUGGUUAUUUUAGAUAAGCCAAAUGACGUCAAAAUCGUCAUCAGGAAAAGUUAACUCUUUCCUGGAUAGGAAGGUUUAGUGAGGCGAGACUGCCCUCUAUGGAUCAAAUACCUAAAUUGCAAUCUGCAGGUUGAACAAAUCUUAGUUAACUAAAGAAUAUAUAGUUAUAAACAUUCCAUUCUGCAGGUGGAAUUAAGAAUAAUUAUAUAUUAAUGUGAUAGUAUCACGUGUUAGCAUACCGCUGUUUUUAUCCAGGUGUAUUGAUUUGCUCUAAAAUAAGAUAAGAUAUCUUUUUUAGGCAAAUUAAAAUUUGGCUUUUGUAAUCUGGUAGAUUAUUCUUAUUGAUUGGUUCCAGGAAAUGACUAAUGAGCUGGUUCGAAUGUUAUUUUAUCUGAAAAUUACAUGAGAAUAGGAUAUUAUAUGCGUAGGAGGAUCUAGCCAGCAUUGAAGGGGUUACACAGUUAAUCUAACUGUUAGCCAAGGUUUUAUGGCGUUUUGCUUUCUUUGUACUGAGAAGUACCCAUUAAUCGUGUAAGUCUUGACAGGUGAUGCUGUAGCUUGUACUGUGUUUAGCCAUUGCCAUUGUAUUGCAUACUUAUGUUAUACUAAAUAUUCACUGAUUAUUAUCAUGCAUGCUGCCUA
rnacentral:lncRNA from 1 species